CUCUUAUUGGAUGUCAUGCAUUGUGAAUUUUACCUUGUGUUGCUAGCUAUUUUAGUAUUCCUAAAAAUGUUCCUGAGCUUUGUUUUAAAAAGCAGUUAAAUCAUUUGAAAACAGUUUAUUUUUUUGUCUUGCUUUGAAGAUGAGUUGUACAAGACCAUAGCUGUAUGUGGUGUUGGGCUGGUUAUCCCUCACUAUGAAGGCAAGCCUCUGAGUACUCUACUGAAUGCCCUGUGGAGCUUGGGGCUUUACAAUCUGGCUGGUAGGAACGGGCGCUAUUCCUGGCCCUCAGAACCUGAAGCUGUUCCCUCAGAUGCCCUUGAAUGUUUUUUUCCCCUGGCCUUGGAUAGUGCAUGUACUGCUCAGUGCUUUGCUACAUACUCUGGGGGACUCAUCAGGUAGCUCCAGAGUUCUCUGUGUAGCUGUAUACUCUUUAGAAUCUGCCCUGCACACUGCAGACACCUAAGUAUCUACAGACUUCUGUCUCCCAACUCAAAUUUUGCAGACCUCUGCCUUGCUUCUCUCCCUCCCUGCCCUACAGCCUGGACACUCCAGGCAGCGAGGCAGUGCAGCUGUAGGCUCACUUUGUUUGUUUUCUGUCUCACAGGGAUUAUUGUCAUUUGUUGCCUGAUGACCACUGGCCUGAAAACUGUUGUCUCGUGUAUUUUUUUUUCUGGCUUUUUGGUUGUGUCAGAAGGAACUUUCCUCUGUAACAACAACCGACAGCUUGACAAAGUGUGUUCCCAUUGUCCUGUGAUUGCUCUGCUUUUCAAAGUAAGCCUGCGAG
rnacentral:lncRNA from 1 species